rnacentral:rRNA from 1 species
GAUGAACGCUGGCGGCGUGCCUAAUACAUGCAAGUCGAGCGAACAGACGAGGAGCUUGUUCUUCUGACGUUAGCGGCGGACGGGCGAGUAACAAGUGGAUAACCUACCUAUAAGACUGGGAUAACUUCGGGAAACCGGAUCUAAUACCGGAUAAUAUAUGGUACCGCAUGGUUCAAUAGUGAAAGACGGUUUUGCUGUCACUUAUAGAUGGAUCCGGGCCGCUUUAGCUGGUUGGUAAGGUAACGGCUUAGCAAGGCGACGAUGCGUAGCCGACCUGGGAGGGUGAUCAGCCACACUGGAAGUGGGACACGGUCCAUACUCCUACGGGAGGAAGCAGUGGGGAAUCUUCCGGAAUGGGCGAAAGACUGAAGGAGCAACACCGCGUGAGUGAUGAAGGUCUUCGGGUCGUAAAGCCCUGUUAUUAGGAAAGAACAAAUGUACAAUUAACUACGCACGUCUUGACGGUACCUAAACAGAAAGCCACGGCUAACUACGUG